GUGGGUAUUGUUGAGUUAAAUAUGUAAUAGUCCAUGGUCGGGUUAUAAGCCCUCUAGGUUUGGUUUUUCAAGAGGUAUAGACUUAUUUCCAAGUAAAUAAAAGGGAAAUUGAGAAUCAUGAGUAGUUUAUGUAACUUUGUGUGUUUAUGUGUGUGACUUACAGACUCAAUUUCAUAAUAAUUUAAUCCAUUUAACUGCAAACCAUGUCAAGCUUAAUAAACAAGUCUCUUAAGUAUACUUAAAAACUAAAGUAAUUAACUCAUUUCAGAAAUGCUGAAAUUUUCUCAAACAGCUCUCAUAUUGUAGCUUUAGUAUAGAUAUUAAAUCCAUAAUUAGAGCUAAAAAGGAAAGUGAUUAAAGCAACUCUUUUACUUUAAAUAAUCUUGUUCAAAGUUAUUCUAAGAGUGAAUUCUUUUCACUAGUGUUAGAAGACAAUUACUGUGGAAAAAAAAUUUGUUUUUAUUUUAGCUUCUAAAGAUGGCACAGCUGGGAUACCCACCUACAACUUUAUGAUGUGAAAACCGGUACAUGUUGAAGUCUUUCAUCCAGAAAAAAAUGCAAAAUUGGUGUCCAUCUUGGUCAGAAGAUGAAACUAUCUGUGCCCGAAUGUUAACAACGAAGUUCACUUCUUUGAAAACAACAAUUUUAGUAUGGAAAGAUAUGAAAUAAAUUUAUUAUUUCUAUAAAUGCAUAUAGCUUUACUCUGCCUUAUAUGGCAUCAUAGGGUUCUCCUAAAUACUAUUUUAAUAAUUGCUGUUUUAUUAAUUCAUUUGAAUAACUUGUGUUAACUAAAGAAAUUAUAAUAUAGAUUUUCUUUUUUUUUUUUUUUUUUAAUUUUUUUUUAAAGAUUUUAUUUAUUUAUUCAUGAGAGACACAGAGAAGAGGCAGAGACACGGAGAGGAGAAGCAGGCUCCCUACAGGACGUCUGAUGUGGGACUCAAUCCCAGGAUCAUGACCUAAGCCAAAAGCAGAUGCUCAACCACUGAGCCCCAGGCAUCCCAAUUUUCUUUUAAUAAGCUUUAUUGUCUAAUAAUUGAUAUUAAGACAUUUGCAUACUUCUUUC
rnacentral:lncRNA from 1 species